rnacentral:misc_RNA from 1 species
GAUGAAGAACGUAGCGAAAUGCGAUAAGUAAUGUGAAUUGCAGAAUUCAGUGAAUCAUCGAAUCUUUGAACGCACCUUGCGCUCCUUGGUAUUCCGAGGAGCAUGCCUGUUUGAGUGUCAUUAAAUUCUCAACCUUUACAACUUUGUGUUGUCUAGAUUGGAAGUGGGGGCUGCUUGUGUGGAAUCCAAUUCCUCACUCCCCUUAAAUGUAUUAGCUGGAAUGCCUCUGCAUAUCUGACUAUCAGUGUGAUAAUUAUCUAUGCUGUAGUUGUUGCAUGAGGGUAUCUGCUCAAUCAAUCGUCGCAAGACAAUUAUUGACCAUCUUGACCUCAAAUCAGGUAAGACUACCCGCUGAACUUAAGCAUAUCAAUAAGCGGAGGA